rnacentral:lncRNA from 1 species
ACAGCUGCUUUGCCUCAGGCAUAAAUCAGAAGAGGAAAACCAGCUUCUGGACCCGGAGGGAGGAUGAAACGGAAUAGGAAUUGAGGGAAGUGGAAGGGAAGACUAAGGGACCCCUGGAGAGUCCCUACUAAGCCAGACAUGACAAACAAAAGUCCUCUGCUACUGGGGAAGACAGAACAGAGAAGCCAGCAGGGGAAGAAAAAGAUGAUGCUGUUCUUGAUGCCUCAAAAACGGCAAGGGAGAACCCAGGCAACUGAUAUACACACCCUUGGAACAAAUCUACCCCAGAAGUACAAGACACACACUUCAAAUUCAUGGAAUAAAUGGGAGCUAAAUGGAAUUCUGUGGUAGUACUGUCCUGCAGGAAGAAACCUAUGCCCCAGAAGACACCUAGCCUCCAGUGGAUUUGCAGUGGAUGCUUGGGCAGUAGCAGUUUAUCAUAGCUUCAGUGAGACUUCCUUGGUUGUCUCUCUGUAUUUGGAAUACUUACGGAUACUUUCUGCUGGAACCCAGAUUUGGAUUUCCUUUCCUGGAUGUCCUCUCUUCUUAUCUUCUAGACUUCUACUAAGUUCCAGUAUCCUUAUUGGUGAGAUAAAAGGCACAAGCAAGAUCAGGCAGGGUGCUUAUGACAGGAUGUGCUCACGUGUCUCUUGGUUGUGGCCAUCUCAGGUCAGCAUCUCUGGAGAAGUAGGGUCCACACAGGGCUCGGGGAGAUAGUGGGCAAUGAAUGUCCUUGUUUGGGGUUUGAUGUAGCCUCUAUGACUAGGAGGCUGACAGCUGGCAGGUUCCAUGAGGGUAAGUUUUGUUCAUGCUAUCUACACUAAACCAUUAGGACCUAGAUUCUAUUAUAGUGGAAAAUAAUAAGAGUGAAAAAUAAUAACAACAAUGCUAAUGGCCAAUCCUAUGGAGCCCCAAUGUAUAUGCCAUGCCAUGUUCUAAACACUUUACAUGCAUUAUUUCAUAUUUCAAACUAUUCUAUGAGUAGAGACCAUUAUUAUUCUUAUUUUACAAAUUAAAAAAAAAAAAAAAAGCCCCGAGUCUUAGAGUGACAAGAUGCCUUGUUUAAGUUUACUCAGCUGUGGACUGGAGGGCUGGUGGACCCAAUGAGUGAGUGAAUAAAGUUAGGUUGGAUGCCCAGUGUAGGUACUUCAGUUUUUUUCUUCCUUCUAAAUCAU